rnacentral:lncRNA from 1 species
AACGGACAAUAUCGUGCUAUGGCGGAGUCGAGCCCAGGAUGUGGUGAGGGCUAAGACCAGGAUGUGACAGCCAUAGUAGAUGAAAAACUUCCAAAGCACAUUAAAAAAAUUCAUAUAAUUAUUUUUUAAGUGUGGAGAAUGUGAAAAAAUAUGCAAACGCUCAUGAUCGCAUUCAUAAUGCUUUGACGAUAGGUAUAUCGUCGUUUGAAUUUUUAAAACUCUACAAACCCCCAUGAAUAGUAUUUUUAGAGGGAGUUCAAAAUAAAUAAAAGGGUAAAUUACAUUUUACCCCCUCAGAUUUGGGGUCGAUUGCAACUGCAUACAAUAUCUUUAAAACAUUUCAAUUUCAUACAUUUACUUAUCAUUUUAUUUCAAUUUCAUACAUCUAUUAGAAAAUCUAUUAAGUAAACAGUUAAGUGAUGAUGUGGCAAAUAUGGGGUCCUCAUUUGUGCUGACGUAGCUGCCAAACAUGUGCCAUGCGGCAAAAAAAAAAUUCUACGCAUUUUAAAAUAAUAAUUUAAUCAAAAUA